GUACCUUUGUUUUGCGAUCACGCANUUAAUACAACUUUCAACAACGGAUCUCUUGGCUCUCGCAUCGAUGAANAACGCANCGAAAUGCNAUACGUAAUGUGAAUUGCANAAUUCANUGAAUCAUCNAAUCUUUGAACGCACCUUGCGCCCCUUGGCAUUCCNAGGGGCACACCCGUUUGAGUGUCGUGAAAUUCUCAAAACCCUUUUCUUUUUGGNAGAAGGGUUUUGGACUUGGAGGCCUUUUGCUGGCUUUGCCUNGAAGCCAGCUCCUCCUAAAUGAAUUANUGGGGUCCACUUUGCCGAUCCUUGACGUGAUAANAUGUUUCUGCGUCUUGUGGUUUGACACUGUCACCCGCUUCUAAUCGUCUCAUUGACAAUUGAUGGUGUUCCGGUCACCACCUCUCUAUGGGGUGGUUGGCUUGACCCACAACAUGACCUUGACCUCAAAUCGGGUGAGACUACCCGCUGAACUUAAGCAUAUCA
rnacentral:misc_RNA from 1 species